rnacentral:misc_RNA from 1 species
CAAAAAUUUUCCCUUUUGCAAUUCACAAUGAAUCACAUUCAGCAAAGGUCAUUUCCUUAUUUCGUUUUUUUGUCCCUUCUAUGGGACAACUUAUGCACAACGAGCAAAGUUUAGGGCUAUUUAUGAUUGGGCAUUGUAACCUGUUCUACUACUUACUUACAGUCAAUAGUGGAAUAUAGUCCAAGAGUGAUUGAGAAGUCAUCCAUGCAAUGCAAAGAGUGUUAGAACGUUGAAUUGACUUUGCAUGAACAGUGCAGAUUGCAGUGCAGAUUGCUCCUACCCUGCAAUUUGUCAUAUUAUACCCUGUUGUUUUACGUUUUAAUUUGAGGGAUUGCCAAUUGGCCAUCCAUUUGUCUGGAACUUAAG